rnacentral:rRNA from 1 species
UACAGAGGUCUCAAGCGUUGUUCGAUUCAUUGGGCGUAAAGGGUGCGUAGGCGGCGCGGUAAGUCGGGUGUGAAAUCUCGGGGCUUAACUCCGAAACUGCAUUCGAUACUGCCGUGCUUGAGGACUGGAGAGGAGACUGGAAUUUACGGUGUAGCGGUGAAAUGCGUAGAUAUCGUAAGGAAGACCAGUGGCGAAGGCGGGUCUCUGGACAGUUCCUGACGCUGAGGCACGAAGGCCAGGGAGCAAACAGG